CUUGUUGGUGAGGUAACGGCUCACCAAGGCUUCGACGGGUAGCCGGCCUGAGAGGGCGACCGGCCACACUGGGACUGAGAUACGGCCCAGACUCCUACGGGAGGCAGCAGUGGGGAAUAUUGCACAAUGGGCGCAAGCCUGAUGCAGCAACGCCGCGUGCGGGAUGACGGCCUUCGGGUUGUAAACCGCUUUCAGUAGGGACGAAGGUAACCUGACGGUACCUACAGAAGAAGGACCGGCCAACUACGUGCCAGCAGCCGCGGUGAUACGUAGGGUCCGAGCGUUGUCCGGAAUUAUUGGGCGUAAAGGGCUUGUAGGCGGUCUGUCACGUCGGAAGUGAAAACUCAGGGCUUAACCCUGAGCCGGCUUCCGAUACGGGCAGACUAGAGGGAUGCAGGGGAGAACGGAAUUCCUGGUGGAGCGGUGGAAUGCGCAGAUAUCAGGAGGAACACCGGUGGCGAAGGCGGUUCUCUGGGCAUUUCCUGACGCUGAGAAGCGAAAGCGUGGGGAGCAAACAGGCUUAGAUACCCUGGUAGUCCACGCCGUAAACGGUGGGCACUAGGUGUGGGGAACAUUCCACGUUCUCCGUGCCGCAGCUAACGCAUUAAGUGCCCCGCCUGGGGAGUACGGCCGCAAGGCUAAAACUCAAAGGAAUUGACG
rnacentral:rRNA from 1 species